rnacentral:misc_RNA from 1 species
UACGGAGGGUGCAAGCGUUGUUCGGAAUCAUUGGGCGUAAAGAGCGUGUAGGCGGCCAUUUAAGUCUGAUGUGAAAGCCCGGGGCUUAACCCCGGAAGUGCAUUGGAUACUGGAUGGCUAGAGGACGAGAGAGGAAGGCGGAAUUCCUGGUGUAGGGGUGAAAUCCGUAGAUAUCAGGAGGAACACCGGAGGCGAAGGCGGCUUUCUGGCUCGUUACUGACGCUGAGACGCGAAAGCGUGGGGAGCAAACAGG